CUAGUUGUCUUCUACCGUUUUGGACGGAAUUAAUAUAUCAUCGAUAUAGACAAUUACCUUGUCUUGGCGGAUAAGCGGUUGCAAGAUUUGAACAAUUCUACGUUGGAAUUCAGCCGGUGAUUCCGAGAAAUUGAACGGUACUAUUCUCGCGCAAUAUGAUGAGCGACUCGGCUGAAUAAUUCCUCGCGUGAGCAGAUCAUCCGUGAUCUCGCGAAUUUGCUUGCGUUCAUGCAACGCAAGUUUGCGAAGAGCAUAAGCGUAUGUGGAAUCAUCCCUUAGAGCAACUUUGACGCAAUGAUCGUCCUCAACUAUAGGAAAUCGCCCCCAAUAAUAAGAUCUAUUCCUGGUAGUUCGGAAGCGGAUACAUAAAAAUCAUUGCCGCCACGAUGGACCCAUGGUUGACUCCUCGUUGGUCGUUUCCACCAUCGCUGCUACUAUGGGUUGCCAGGCUGAAUGCUGCGACGGGAUGCCGGUACGUUCCCUCUUCACUUCGGACAAACUGCAAUUCUGUGCCCUGACUCCUUGCAAUGGUAACACACUUCUACUCGUAUUAAUUUUCGUUCGUCCUUCGGUUGAGCGCCUCUACUUUGUCCUCCGCUGGUUCUGUGCUACACGUGUCUUGUUCCGCGGGAAUGCGGUUCAUUCCUAUUUUGCAGGUCUUUGAUUCCUUCGGUUAUGUGCUUCAUUUCGCUCAGAAAUUGAUCUACUGUCAAUGAUUUGAGUGCUAGAGCCG